AUUGAACGCUGGCGGCAUGCCUUACACAUGCAAGUCGAACGGUAACAGGUUAAGCUGACGAGUGGCGAACGGGUGAGUAAUGUAUCGGAACGUGCCCAGUCGUGGGGGAUAACUGCUCGAAAGAGCAGCUAAUACCGCAUACGACCUGAGGGUGAAAGCGGGGGAUCGCAAGACCUCGCGCGAUUGGAGCGGCCGAUAUCAGAUUAGGUAGUUGGUGAGGUAAAGGCUCACCAAGCCGACGAUCUGUAGCUGGUCUGAGAGGACGACCAGCCACACUGGGACUGAGACACGGCCCAGACUCCUACGGGAGGCAGCAGUGGGGAAUUUUGGACAAUGGGCGCAAGCCUGAUCCAGCCAUGCCGCGUGCGGGAAGAAGGCCUUCGGGUUGUAAACCGCUUUUGUCAGGGAAGAAAAGGUUCUGGCUAAUACCUGGGACCCAUGACGGUACCUGAAGAAUAAGCACCGGCUAACUACGUG
rnacentral:rRNA from 1 species